rnacentral:rRNA from 1 species
AGUGAACGCUGGCGGUGUGCUUAACACAUGCAAGUCGAACGAGAACGGACUAAAGUUUACUUUAGUUGUCAGCUAAGUGGCGCACGGGUGAGUAAUCUAUAGCUAACCUACCCUAAAGAGGGGGAUAAUUAAUGGAAACGUUUGUAAUACCCUAUACCUCUUAUCUACACAAGUGUAUAAGAGAAAACUUUAAGUGCUUUAGGUAUGGGCGUGUAUUGUAUCAGCUAGUUGGUGGUGGUAAUAGGACCGACCCAAGGACGUAUGACGCAUAACUAGGUUUGUAGAGGAUGAUCAGUCACACUGGAACUAGAGACACGGUCCACGACUCCUACGGGGAGGGCAGCAGUGGGGAAGUAAUUGCACAAUGGGGGAAACCCGUACGAUGCAGCAACACCGCGUGGAGGAAGACACUUUUCGGAGCGUAAACUCCUUUUAUAUCCCAAGAUAAUGACGGUAGGAUAUGAAUAAGCACCGGCUAACUCCGUGCCAGCAGCCGCGGUAAUU